AUACGGAGGAUCCAAGCGUUAUCCGGAUUCAUUGGGUUUAAAGGGUCCGCAGGCGGGAAAAUAAGUCAGUGGUGAAAGCCUACAGCUCAACUGUAGAACUGCCAUUGAUACUGUUUUUCUUGAGUAUAGAUGAAGUGGGCGGAAUAUAUCAUGUAGCGGUGAAAUGCAUAGAUAUGAUAUAGAACACCGAUUGCGAAGGCAGCUCACUAAACUAUUACUGACGCUCAGGGACGAAAGCGUGGGGAGCGAACAGGAUUAGAAACCCUAGUAGUCC
rnacentral:rRNA from 1 species